rnacentral:rRNA from 1 species
AGGAUCCGAGCGUUACCCGGAUUCAUUGGGUUUAAAGGGUGCGUAGGUUGUUUUAUAAGUUAGCGGUGAAAUACCGAUGCUCAACAUCGGGGCUGCCGCUAAUACUGAAGGACUAGAGAUCGGAUGCAGCAGGCGGAAUGUGUAGUGUAGCGGUGAAAUGCAUAGAUAUUACACAGAACACCGAUUGCGAAGGCAGCUUGCUAGGCCGGAUCUGACACUGAUGCACGAAAGCGUGGGGAUCGAACAGGAUUAGAUACCCUGGUAGUCCACGCAGUAAACGAUGAUAACUAGUUGUCGGCGAUACACAGUCGGUAACCCAGCGAAAGCGAUAAGUUAUCCACCUGGGGAGUACGACCGCAAGGUUG